UGUGCACAAGGUACACUUUCAACAUGCAAAUAUACGAUCAUUCAUUUCCAUAAGUUCUGGCACCCCAUGUUUUAGGCAUAAGGGUUUGAGACAUUGCCAAAAGCAAGCAAACAACUGUCACAUCCUCACUGCAGAUAGGGAGACAAUUCAAGUAUUCAAACUUUGAAACAGAACACAGUCAAGCUCCAUUAAAAUGAAGGCCCUGGUUUUCUGCACAUUGCUGAUUCUUGUCACCAUGUUGAUCCACAAGGGAGAAGCCCAUCAAUGUCCAGGUGAUCUGACCUACUACCAUGAGUGUCGGCCAUGUAACCAGUACUGUGAGAUGGGUGAUCCCAGUGAACCCUGCAAACUGGAGUGUCGCCCAGGGUGUGCCUGUCCCAAGGGACAGUUCAGAAUACCAGGGACAAAUGACUGCCGAGAAUCUUGUGAUGAUAGCGACGAUACAAUAUUAGCAUUGCUUCAUCAAUAAGCUCUGUUGAGUAAGACCUGCCUGUUCAAUAUCAGAUAUUAUAUAAAAUCAUUUUAAUGAAAAUAUAACCAUCAUAAUAAUCAUAAUAAUUAUAGCAGGUUUAAUCAUCUUGCUCAGGACAGAAGGUGACACUGAAAAUAAGGAACAUGCCUGUCUUCAACAGACAAUGGAAUACAUCAGACUAUGGCUAAGAAUGACCAGGAAAAUGUCAUGAAUUAAAUACAGCCUUUGCUCUGCCUUUUAUUUUAGAAAUAUAGUUAUUUCAGUCUAAUAACUGACUGUCACACAAAUCCAAACUUGAGUCAAAUCCAUACCAAUAUUUGGGUUAAAAAAUAGUACAUACUCCCUUUUGUCAUGAAGCCCAUUUCUGAAAGAUGUUCCUUGAUCAGUGGAUGCCCAGAAAUAGAGAGAGAACAUGUAUAGUGCUUAUAAAUUGAAAUGACUAACAAGCUGCACAAAAUAUGUUGUAAUAAAUCAAAUGGAAUAUUAUGCUUGAACUGUUACAGGUUUGAAUAUAUAAACCAAACAUACAUCAGAGAAUCUUGAAUAGCUAUAAUGAUGAUAAUGACUGCGACAUACUACAUUAUUUAAGAGCAUUCAAAUAAAUCAUAUAAUUUCCCUUAGCAAAAUAACAGGCCUGCUGAAAAUGUUGCUUCAAUAAAAUUUUUCUUGCAAACUCCUCCAAACUCGAUGUCAUAAACUUUAAGUUUGCAGCCAUUUUGGUUACAAAUAAAUGUUAUCUGUGGCCAGACAAAGGUUUUCUGUGUCUCUAGCUAUCCAUCUACUCCAUAGCUCUCUCAGUAUCUAUCUAAUAGUUACUGUAUCUAUCUACAUGUGUCUAUCUAUUUAUUUAUCUAAUUAUCUAUCUAUAAAUAAUUAUAUAAGUAGAUAAACAAGUAGUCCAUCAAGACAAUCAUAUAUUAUGAAGGUAGUAAACAUUUAGAAAACUAGUAUAGAGAUCAAGCUUGCUAAUUAUGUAAGUGCACCUGCCUUUAAUAUCCACUAAACUUGUCAUUAAAUAUCUGCAUGA